AGGCACGUGAAAGGAUCUCUUUCCUUCCUCUUCUUCGACUUGCUCUUGUCUUUCGUGGCUCAGAUUCCAUUUUGGAACUACACAAUGACUCAUCAAACAGAAACCUGGGGUGUCUCAUUGCAGAGUCGAGAAUCGAUGCUGUGGGCCUGACGUUGUGGAUCUAUAAUUGGGGCUUAUUUCUGGACUGAGCAACACAGUGACUAACAUAGGGU